UAAGGUCUAGAGUCUUGUUCUUAAUCCCCUAACAGAACAAUGAUAUAUAUAAAUAAAUAUGGGUCGAUAUCGGCUGUGGAGGACGACUAGCUACGGUUUCGAGCCUGGUCACAUGCGUAGAGUGUGAAAGGUAAUUAGGAGGUGACAGAAGAGAGUGAGCACACAUGGUGGUUUCUUGCAUGCUUUUUUGAUUAGGGUUUCAUGCUUGAAGCUAUGUGUGCUUACUCUCUCUCUGUCACCCCUUCUCUCUCUCUCUCUUUUCAAUUACAAGGUUAAUUAUAACUAGUAAAAGGUCUCUGAUUUGGUAUGAUAUAGUUAAGGUUUUAAUUAGUUAUAUUAUCAUCAAACGGAUCAAAGUAGGUCGAAGGGAUGAGUAGUACAUAUGCAACUUUUGUUAUAAUACUAUGUUUUUAUAUAUAUCAAAUAUUUUGUUCUGAAUUGUAAACGUCAACUCGGUAAUAUCCACAUAAAGUACUCUAACAUUUUAAUUAUGCAGGGUUUAAUCAGCAAUAUAAUUUUGGGAAAAAGUAGAUCUAUAACGUACGAUGAAGCAAAAAAAAUAAAAAAUAAAAAUCAUUUUGUCAUUGUUUUCAAACAUAAUUAGAUAUAGCUACUAUGUGUCUUCUAGCCAUAAGCAUAUCUAUUAGUAUUUAUUUAAAAUUAAUGACUAUUUACCUCCUAAAAACAAACAUGUACAUGUUUUUGUUUCAAGAUGUUUGGAGUGCUUAUGUUAAUCUCUAUGCAGUUAGACGUAUAUGCCUAUCAUAUUAUAUUUGUUAUAAGAAUUUGGCUACCAAUGUACUUUGGUGUACUUUGUGUGAUAAAUAUUUUGUCAUCGGAAAUUUGAUUGAAAUCCUAAACUUUGAUACGUUUGUUGUAACAUGUAAGUAUGAUAUUUGGUUGAUUAAGUUUUUCUAUGAAUCGAAUGCUUGAUUUCUUUUCCAAAAUCACAAAUACAAUUUUUUAAAAUCUGAGGAGCAAAGGAAGCCGACAUAGACGACGGUUGAAAUUAGGGUUUAUAAACGUUAUUUACAUGUAUAUAUACUUUAUGUUGUAAAAUUUUCACAUAGGCUAGUGAUGGAUCAUGGAUGCUAAUAUUUGUUCAUAUACGAUUAUGUUAAUUAUUUAUAAAAAUAAAAUAAAAUAUUUACUUAAAUUUUCCUUCAAAACAAUUAUCCAAAGAAAAGUCUUCAAUAAUUAUAUUGACCUAAGUCACAAAAUAAACCAGUUUUAACUUUUAACAUAACUUAUGGAAAUUGUGACUAAAAUACCAGUCUGAUAUACCUCUGAAGCUGCCCUCUCCUACUUGAAAAAUGUAGACGAAAUCCAAAGACGUUUCGCCAAAUUUCUCAAUAAUUCAAAGAAAAAAAAAACUCAAAUCGCAAAAUUGCUCAUAUACAUGUUUUUAGAUGUAUUAGUUAUGCAUGUGUACUCAUCCACCCAAAGAAAGAGUUAACAAUUACGAAAAAAAGAAUAGGACUGGGUGAGAUGAGGAUCUUGUGUGACUAAAUCAAAGUUUCGAAAAAUUCUUGCAAGAAUGGCUCCAAAAUCGUACUUUCAUCUUUUCAUCAGUAGUAAAAAAAUUGGAUGCAGUCUCAAUUCGACAUAAUCCCAUCAAAUUUAUACCAUAAUGCAUUGAUACUCUUCACUUAAUUUUAAAGCUUUUGUUGUCUCUCUCUCUCUAUGUGUGUAUUAGCAUAUAAUUCUUACAACAAAAGACAAAUUUAUGAAAAAUUUCUCAAGACUCGGGUGUUAUCUCAGGAGUCUGCAAAGGAAUGGGACUGUUAUCUUCUUCUUUCGCGUUUGGAUUCUCGGCUUGUUUUUCUUCAGGUUGGGAGGCUACACCAUUC
rnacentral:lncRNA from 1 species